rnacentral:rRNA from 1 species
AUUGAACGCUGGCGGCAGGCUUAACACAUGCAAGUCGAACGAUGAUUAUCUAGCUUGCUAGAUAUGAUUAGUGGCGGACGGGUGAGUAACAUUUAGGAAUCUACCUAGUAGUGGGGGAUAGCUCGGGGAAACUCGAAUUAAUACCGCAUACGACCUACGGGUGAAAGGGGGCGCAAGCUCUUGCUAUUAGAUGAGCCUAAAUCAGAUUAGCUAGUUGGUGGGGUAAAGGCCCACCAAGGCGACGAUCUGUAACUGGUCUGAGAGGAUGAUCAGUCACACCGGAACUGAGACACGGUCCGGACUCCUACGGGAGGCAGCAGUGGGGAAUAUUGGACAAUGGGGGCAACCCUGAUCCAGCCAUGCCGCGUGUGUGAAGAAGGCCUUUUGGUUGUAAAGCACUUUAAGCAGGGAGGAGAGGCUAAUGGUUAAUACCCAUUAGAUUAGACGUUACCUGCAGAAUAAGCACCGGCUAACUCUGUGCCAGCCGCCGCCGUAACAC